rnacentral:sRNA from 1 species
AAUCCAGUCAAACCGGAUUUAACAUACAAUCAGACCGGAAAUAAUUUAAUUGAGGGCUAGCUAAUAAAUCUCAUAUAACAAAAAAUUUCGAAAUUUUAAAAAUAAAUCUGCCAAAAAAAGUCUGUUAUUACUAAAAAGGUUAUUCUAGUCAUAAACAAAUCGGCCAUAACAUUGACAUGAGUAAAUCUGUUAUGCUUUGACACUGAAAAACAAAACUGUCAUCACUAAAAACAAAUCUGUUAUCACUAUGUGACUGUGUAGUAAUUUUAUUUUUUAACAAAAAUCUGUUGUAAAACACCAGAUUUGUUAACAAGUUAAUUAAAUCUGUGAUUACACAAAACAACUCUGUCAUGCCUAUAUAACAUUUUUCGAGGUUAACAAAUCUGUUAUAACACAACAGAUUUUUGGGUGCAAAUAGAAAAUCUGUUGCCACCAUAAAGAAAAAUCUGUGGUCCGGAAAACAAAUCAGUGACAGAUUUGGUUUCAACAUUCUUACUUUUGAAAUUUAAAUAAAAUCUGUGGAGAUUAUAUGAAACAAAUCAGUCAUAGUUAAAAAAUCUGCGAAAAAAAAAAAAUCUGGCGUAACAUAACACAGUAAAGUCUGUGGUACAAAACAAGUCUGUUGUAAAAAAUCUGUGGUUGACCAACAAAUCUGUGAUCGAUAACAAAUCCGUCGCAACAAGAGCCACAGAUUUACCAAAAACGACGAUGGCAUUUUCGUAAAUAAAUGUGGUUUUAUUGCCUUGCUGGAAUUAAAUAGUAAUGGCAUUUCUGUAAUAUUGUUUUUCUCUGCAAAGGAAAACAAGGAUAAUUUAGGUAUAAUUAUUACUCAAAUAACUCAUAUUUUUAGCAUCCCUUUGGGGUCAUUAUGUAUAAAAUAUGGGUUACUCUAAUAAAUUUCCCAUAUAUAUAUAAUUUCUCCAAAACAAGGUGGUCAAAGAAAUUUACUCUAACAUUUGCAUAUAUAUAUAUAUAUAUUUUUUAUUUUUUUGCUUAAACAAUAUCAGCAAAAAC